GUUUUAAUAGUUUAAUUUAAAAUAAUGAUCUUGUAAAUCAUAGAUAGGUAACCUUUAAAACA
rnacentral:tRNA from 2 species